UACGAAGGGGGCUAGCGUUGCUCGGAAUCACUGGGCGUAAAGCGCACGUAGGCGGAUUGUUAAGUCAGGGGUGAAAUCCUGGAGCUCAACUCCAGAACUGCCUUUGAUACUGGCAAUCUCGAGUUCGGGAGAGGUGAGUGGAACUGCGAGUGUAGAGGUGAAAUUCGUAGAUAUUCGCAAGAACACCAGUGGCGAAGGCGGCUCACUGGCCCGAUACUGACGCUGAGGAGCGAAAGCGUGGGGAGCGAACAGG
rnacentral:rRNA from 1 species